rnacentral:tRNA from 1 species
GAGGGUACAGCUCAGUGGUGGAGCACGCGCUUAGCAUGCACGAGGUCCUGGGUUCAGUCCCCAGUCCCUCCA